rnacentral:rRNA from 1 species
AGUGAACGCUGGCGGUAGGCCUAACACAUGCAAGUCGAACGGCAGCACAGUAAGCGCUUGCUCUUACGGGUGGCGAGUGGCGGACGGGUGAGGAAUACAUAGGAAUCUACUUUUUCGUGGGGGAUAACGUAGGGAAACUUACGCUAAUACCGCAUACGACCUACGGGUGAAAGCAGGGGAUCUUCGGACCUUGCGCGACUGAAUGAGCCGAUGUCGGAUUAGCUAGUUGGCGGGGUAAAGGCCCACCAAGGCGACGAUCCGUAGCUGGUCUGAGAGGAUGAUCAGCCACACUGGAACUGAGACACGGUCCAGACUCCUACGGGAGGCAGCAGUGGGGAAUAUUGGACAAUGGGCGCAAGCCUGAUCCAGCCAUACCGCGUGGGUGAAGAAGGCCUUCGGGUUGUAAAGCCCUUUUGUUGGGAAAGAAAAGCAGCAGGUUAAUACCCCGCUGUUCUGACGGUACCCAAAGAAUAAGCACCGGCUAACUUCGUG